rnacentral:lncRNA from 1 species
CUGGUUUGCACAUGUGCAAUAAAGUUAGAAAUAAAACAUAAGAAAUAAGAAAAUUACCUAUUUAACCAAAUAUGCUGUAAACUUCAUAUAGUUUAUCCACUUAAUAAUCACUUAAUACAAUUAAUUAAUCCAAAUAAUUAGAAUUACCUUUUUUAUCAAUAGAAUUAUAUUUUUUUAUAAAUAAAAUGUCCUUGAUAUAAAAGAUUGUCCUUAUAUUAUGCCUUUAUUAUGUUGCUAUUAUAAAAUAUGAUCAAUCAAGCAAAAAUAUAAAAAUUCCUGUAAGUAUUGUGUCUAAAAUGACCAUGCAAAAGUAAUCAUGAGGUUUUGAGGUUAAAUAAUGUUAAAAGUGUACACUGCCUUGGUUGACAUUCUAGACAUAACCAGGUGCUCCACAGGGCGCAGCUUUAUACGACCGCAGAGGUCGAACCCUGAACAGUUGGGGCAAGUAUGGACAAAACAUUCAAGCGUGAUACAGCUCUGAAUUUGGAUUGUGAUCAAAUUUUUGACAUUAUAUGUUUUUUUUUUUACACAAAACAAAUGUCAAGAUUUUACAAAUCAAUUAAAGAUUUCUUCAAACUUUUUAAAUCUAAAAUUAAAUAGUUGACACAGCAUAGGUUUCUGACACAGAAUGAAUGUGGUCUAAUGAACUUAAAAGUUUUUUUUUU